ACUGGUGAGUAACACGUGGGAAACCUGCCCAGAAGCGGGGGAUAACACCUGGAAACAGAUGCUAAUACCGCAUAACAACUUGGACCGCAUGGUCCGAGUUUGAAAGAUGGCUUCGGCUAUCACUUUUGGAUGGUCCCGCGGCGUAUUAGCUAGAUGGUGGGGUAACGGCUCACCAUGGCAAUGAUACGUAGCCGACCUGAGAGGGUAAUCGGCCACAUUGGGACUGAGACACGGCCCAAACUCCUACGGGAGGCAGCAGUAGGGAAUCUUCCACAAUGGACGAAAGUCUGAUGGAGCAACGCCGCGUGAGUGAAGAAGGGUUUCGGCUCGUAAAACUCUGUUGUUAAAGAAGAACAUAUCUGAGAGUAACUGUUCAGGUAUUGACGGUAUUUAACCAGAAAGCCACGGCUAACUACGUGCCAGCAGCCGCGGUAAUACGUAGGUGGCAAGCGUUGUCCGGAUUUAUUGGGCGUAAAGCGAGCGCAGGCGGUUUUUUAAGUCUGAUGUGAAAGCCUUCGGCUCAACCGAAGAAGUGCAUCGGAAACUGGGAAACUUGA
rnacentral:rRNA from 1 species